rnacentral:rRNA from 1 species
UUUGCCUAACACAUGCAAGUCGAACGUGAAAGUCCUUCGGGAUGAGUAAAGUGGCGCACGACUGAGUAACACGUAGGUGACCUGCCUUUUAGAGGGGAAUAACCAGAAGAAAUUUUGGCUAAUGCCGCAUACGAAGCACGGUUUUAAGACUGUGCUUGAAAGAAUGCCUCUGCAUAUGCAUUCGCUAUUAGAUGGGCCUGCGGGACAUUAGCUAGUUGGUGGGGUAAAGGCCUACCAAGGCGACGAUGUCUAUCCGGUCUGAGAGGAUGAUCGGACACACUGGAACUGAGACACGGUCCAGACUCCUACGGGAGGCAGCAGUGGGGAAUAUUGCGCAAUGGGGGAAACCCUGACGCAGCAACGCCGCGUGAGUGAGGAAGGACUUCGGUCUGUAAAGCUCUGUUAAUGUGGAAAAAUGGCAGUUGGUCUAAUAGGCCGAUUGUUUGAUGGUACACAUAGAGGAAGCACCGGCUAACUUCGUGCCAGCAGCCGCGGUAAUACGAAGGGUGCAAGCGUUGUUCGGAUUUAUUGGGCGUAAAUCGCGCGUAGGCGGACCUGCAAGUCAGAUGUGAAAUCUCGGGGCUCAACCUCGAAACUGCGUCUGAAACUACAGGUCUAGAAUCUCGGAGGGGGAAGGGGAAUAUCGCAUGUAGGGGUAAAAUCCGUAGAUAUGCGAUGGAACACCAGAGGCGAAGGCGCCUUCCUGGACGAGUAUUGACGAUGAGGCGCGAAAGCGUGGGGAUCAAACAGGAUUAGAUACCCUGGUAGUCCACGCUGUAAACGAUGAACACUAGAUAUUGGAGGAUUUGUCCCCUUCAGUGUCGUAGCUAACGCGUUCCC